GGUCCGUUGGUGUUUUAAAUGGUGAGCACGUCCAGUUCGACGAGCUACUCGACUGGUUUGGAAGAUAUGGGUUCAAACCCCAUGCGGGCCA